rnacentral:rRNA from 1 species
AGUGAACGCUGGCGGUAGGCCUAACACAUGCAAGUCGAACGGCAGCACAGUAAGAGCUUGCUCUUACGGGUGGCGAGUGGCGGACGGGUGAGGAAUACAUCGGAAUCUACUUUUUCGUGGGGGAUAACGUAGGGAAACUUACGCUAAUACCGCAUACGACCUACGGGUGAAAGCAGGGGAUCUUCGGACCUUGCGCGAUUGAAUGAGCCGAUGUCGGAUUAGCUAGUUGGCGGGGUAAAGGCCCACCAAGGCGACGAUCCGUAGCUGGUCUGAGAGGAUGAUCAGCCACACUGGAACUGAGACACGGUCCAGACUCCUACGGGAGGCAGCAGUGGGGAAUAUUGGACAAUGGGCGCAAGCCUGAUCCAGCCAUACCGCGUGGGUGAAGAAGGCCUUCGGGUUGUAAAGCCCUUUUGUUGGGAAAGAAAAGCAGCAGGUUAAUACCCCGCUGUCCAGACGGUACCCAAAGAAUAAGCACCGGCUAACUUCGUG